rnacentral:rRNA from 1 species
AUUGAACGCUGGCGGCAGGCCUAACACAUGCAAGUCGAACGAGUGGCGGACGGGUGAGUAAUGUCUGGGAAACUGCCUGAUGGAGGGGGAUAACUACUGGCAACUGUAGCUAAUACCUCAUACCAUCGGCUGUUCCCAGAUGGGAUUAGCUAGUAGGUGGGGUAAAGGCUCCCCUAGGCGACGAUCCCUAGCUGGUCUGAGAGGAUGACCAGCAACACUGGAACUGAAGCACGGUCCAGACUCCUACGGGAGGCAGCAGUGGGGAAGAUUGCACAAUGGGCGAAAGCCUGAUGCAGCCAUGCCGCGUGUAUGAAGAAGGCCUUCGGGUUGUAAAGUACUUUCAGCGGGGAGGCGUUACCCGCAGAAGAAGCACCGGCUAACUCCGUGCCAGCAGCCGCGGUAAUAC